rnacentral:rRNA from 1 species
GAUGAACGCUGGCGGCGUGCCUAAUACAUGCCAGUCGAGCGAACAGACGAGGAGCUUGCUCCUCUGACGUUAGCGGCGGACGGGUGAGUAACACGUGGAUAACCUACCUAUAAGACUGGGAUAACUUCGGGAAACCGGAGCUAAUACCGGAUAAUAUAUUGAACCGCAUGGUUCAAUAGUGAAAGACGGUUUUGCUGUCACUUAUAGAUGGAUCCGCGCCGCAUUAGCUAGUUGGUAAGGUAACGGCUUACCAAGGCCACGAUGCGUAGCCGACCUGGGAGGGGGAUCCGGCCCACUGGGAAUGAGACAAGGGCCAGACUCCUAAGGGGGGCAGGAGGGGGGAAACCUGCCGAAUGGGGGGAAGCCUGAACGAGCAAAGGCGGGGGGGUGAAGAAGGGUUUCGGGUUGGAAAAACCUUUUUAUUGGGAAAAAACAAGUGGGGAGGAAAGUAUGCCCGUAUGAAGGGAACCUAAGAAGAAGGCCCGGCCAAAUAAGGU